rnacentral:ncRNA from 1 species
ACCCGUCCAGGCUAAAUACGGGCGAGAGACCGAUAGCGAACAAGUACCGCGAGGGAAAGAUGAAAAGGACUUUGAAAAGAGAGUCAAAGAGUGCUUGAAAUUGUCGG